AGAUGUACAGAUCUCAUCCAAGGAACGAGUAUCCAAAUCUUAAACGCCACGUGUCCCCGAUCGCCAUCUUGUAGUAACGUUACCAUAGCAAUAUGUACUGGUGGGUGUGAUAAUGCAAACAGCACCUGCUUUUCAUCUAAAUUCGAACCAAACAUUGGCUAUAAACAUGUGUUUAAAUGCAGCGAAAAGUUCAUAAAUGUAAUCGUAGCAAAAGUCUACUUCGGAAAAGAAAACUAUACGUUGUGUGAAGACGAGAAAGGUCGGAAAAGUCAAUCAGAUACUUGUCUAAAACAUCCUAAUGCAACAUGCAGGCUUGAUAACCACUUACAGGCACAUAAUGUGUACAACAACUAUUCGUUUGAAGUGAAAAUAGGCGACGAGUGUACAGAAUUUCAUCUUAACAUUGUACCAUAUAUACUAACGGGAGUAGGAGUUACUGUCCUGGUUUUAACUGCAGUGAUUAUCUUUUUUAAUAGAAAAGCCUGUGUCCAAUGCGUCAAAGGAAUAGCACAGAAGUGUAGAAAGAACAGAGAAAAACGUUAUUUACCACCAGCCAUUUUAAGACAACAGACAACAAUACAUCCCAUAGGACCCAUUAGUCACCAUCGGUCAUAGUUCAUUCUGUGAAACUGUUCAUAUUUUGUUAAAACUGAAUCAAUAAAGUAUAUACAUAUGAAAAGAAAAGACCAUUCCAACAGUAGCAGCUUUCACCAAAUACCAAAGUGCAGAACAUAGAACACUAAUGUUUUAAGGUUACCAAGAAACCUUCUUUAUGACUCGAUCAUCAAAUAUGACCAUAUGUGGACUCUCUCAAAUCAACUAUUACUAGUAUCCAAAAUGUAAUCUUUUCAUAAAAGUGACAAAACAAUCAAAAUCAUAUCAUGUUAAUAUUCGUCAUCAUCAUGUAUGUACAUCUGAUUAGCUCACAUACCUCAUAGUAUGCUAGAAGAUUGAUAUAUUGAAGUGCAAGAUCUAGUUAUUUACUUAUAAUUUCUUUUGAUCUACACUACAUAAAUUAUUUUGUAAAUUGUGUGUCAAAGAGGAAUGUUUAAAGAUUUACAAUAAGAUAAUUUUUUGCGUGAACCCCUCACUUUGUGAGUUUUCGAAGUGUCUAUGGGCCAUUCGAUAUCCUCGGAAUCUAGAUUCUCGGAACGUCUCAAAAUUUUUCGAUUAUUUAUAUAUACAGGUAGUUAUCUAUGUCUUUGAUACGGUCCCUCUAUGAUAUAUAUAGGCUACCACGUGACAUUGUAUAAUUCAACAAUUAAAGUUCAUGUUUAGAUUGGAAAGUAAAACAAUAAAGACUAGGUUGCAGUCAAAAAAUCAUUUAUAUGUUAGAACCUAUUUGCCUUUUGACAAAACAUAUGUGUUUUAAUAAUGUGAAUGUUUAUUAAAUAUCAAGUAUAAUGAAAACGCAAUUAUAUAAUUCAUUCUUUGAGACGGUCCCUGUACGCGUUGUGUGUGUAGUAUUUUUAACACAACGUGAUGUUGUGCAUUGUGACAAUAAACCUUGGAAUAGUUUAUUGAUAUAUAAUGUCCCAGAAUAAACUGAUUAUUUCUGAACUUUUAUCAUUUGAUAUUUUGUAUUUCAAUCAUAGCAUGGAAAAAUGUCGGAAAGCAUGAAGAAAAUUAAGAAAACGAUAUUUCUGUUAAAAAUAUUUAUAAAACACAGUGGUCGGAAAGCAGAAAGAUAAUCAAACAAAAGGAUUGUUCUGUCAAAAAUAUCUAAUUUCAUUAAUAGAUACUACCAGAUCAAAGAAUAUUCAUUAUUAAGUUUAAACUGAGACAGAAUUUAUUCUUAAUAUAUUAAUAUAAUUAAAAUUGUCAUAUAAACGUGCAUUAUGUCUCACAGUUUUGAACAGUCAUUACAUUAUGAAAAUAAUAUCCAACGUAUGAGCACCAAUGAGCAGGGAUGCGUACCCAAAGUUAGCUAAAUAUCUAAAUUUUAAACGGUCGUGAAUGAAAAAAAUGCUUGCAUGGUUUGAAUUCACAAGGAUGUUAAAUUAUUGCAUCUCACAAAAAACGUAAUUAAUGUUUUACAAUAAUCAUAACAAAAUUUAAUUACUAUCAUAAUGUUAAUUAUUCUAUACUGUUUUAGUAUGGAUUAAUAAGUCUCUGCUUAUAUUUUGUUUAGCAAUAUAUUCAUAUAGUGGAAUGUUAGACUUUAGAAAGAGAUUAAUUUGAUAAAUAAAAUGUCCAUCCGUAAAUACUUGACGUUUGUGUUUAUUGAUAUUAUAUUCUAA